UUAUCUGAACCUUCGGGGAACGAUAACGGCGUCGAGCGGCGGACGGGUGAGUAAUGCCUAGGAAAUUGCCCUGAUGUGGGGGAUAACCAUUGGAAACGAUGGCUAAUACCGCAUGAUGCCUACGGGCCAAAGAGGGGGACCUUCGGGCCUCUCGCGUCAGGAUAUGCCUAGGUGGGAUUAGCUAGUUGGUGAGGUAAGGGCUCACCAAGGCGACGAUCCCUAGCUGGUCUGAGAGGAUGAUCAGCCACACUGGAACUGAGACACGGUCCAGACUCCUACGGGAGGCAGCAGUGGGGAAUAUUGCACAAUGGGCGCAAGCCUGAUGCAGCCAUGCCGCGUGUGUGAAGAAGGCCUUCGGGUUGUAAAGCACUUUCAGUCGUGAGGAAGGCGGCGUCGUUAAUAGCGGCGUUGUUUGACGUUAGCGACAGAAGAAGCACCGGCUAACUCCGUGCCAGCAGCCGCGGUAAUACGGAGGGUGCGAGCGUUAAUCGGAAUUACUGGGCGUAAAGCGCAUGCAGGUGGUUUGUUAAGUCAGAUGUGAAAGCCCGGGGCUCAACCUCGGAAUAGCAUUUGAAACUGGCAGACUAGAGUACUGUAGAGGGGGGUAGAAUUUCAGGUGUAGCGGUGAAAUGCGUAGAGAUCUGAAGGAAUACCGGUGGCGAAGGCGGCCCCCUGGACAGAUACUGACACUCAGAUGCGAAAGCGUGGGGAGCAAACAGGAUUAGAUACCCUGGUAGUCCACGCCGUAAACGAUGUCUACUUGGAGGUUGUGGCCUUGAGCCGUGGCUUUCGGAGCUAACGCGUUAAGUAGACCGCCUGGGGAGUACGGUCGCAAGAUUAAAACUCAAAUGAAUUGACGGGGGCCCGCACAAGCGGUGGAGCAUGUGGUUUAAUUUCGAUGCAACGCGAAGAACCUUACCUACUCUUGACAUCCAGAGAACUUUCCAGAGAUGGAUUGGU
rnacentral:rRNA from 1 species